AAUUCUCUUCUUAAGACAUCAAGAAGAAGGAAAAUCUCCCCACCAUCAGCACCCAAAGCUGAUAUUCU
rnacentral:tRNA from 1 species